rnacentral:rRNA from 1 species
AUGAUCAAAGUGUUACUUGCCUGCAAUGUUGAUGAAGAUGAUUCGCACUCAAAACUCCUGAUAGAUCUACUCGUCACACUCUGGUCAAUCUAUCGCAAGCAAGCAAUGGUAACCACACAUAAGCAAUCACUCAAAAGAUCAGAAAGAACGAAGAAGACGAUUCGGGAAACAUCAAACCAAGCAAAUAACUCUUGCAACAUAAAACAAUUUCUAACAGUACCAAAAUUAUGUGAAUUUGGCCUUAUCAGAAAUUUUAGGUCAAGAGCUUCGAUUUGCAAAAAGAAUCAACUCAAACGGAGCUACGGAACUCAAGUUAUGAACAAAAGAAGUUUGAAUACAAAUCUGUUUGAAUUCAAAUUUUAA